CUUCAGGCCAGGAGUUUGAGACCAGCCUGAACAACAAGGAGAAAUCCCAUCUCUACUAAACACACACACACACACACACACACACACACACAAGCCAGAUGUGGUGGCGCAUGCAUGUAGUCCCAGCUACUCAGGAGGCUGAGGCAGAAGAAUCACUUGAACCUGGGAGGCAGAAGCUGCAGUGAGCUGAUAUAGUGCCACUGCACUCCAGCCUGGGUGACAGAGGAAAACUCUGUCUCAAAAAACAAAACAAAACAAACAAAAUCUGCAAGGUGUUGGGGGCUGGGGGACGGAUCAGGUGUAGUGUCCAAAUUGGAUGGCCUUUAAGCAAGACAUCACAAUGAAUCUCUCCUCCUUGGCUGGCCUCAGGUGAGCUGGUUGGUGGUCAUCUGGGAAUUUUCAGCUGCAGUUUAUCUCAGCACCAACAACAAGAACUGGUUUUGUUUGAUUGCAGAAGAGGCAGUCUUGUGAUACCUUUACAACAGCUUUCUGAGAACAGAGACUCAUUAUCUCAGCAUUCAAGAUAUCUAUGGUCCAGAAAUUCCAUCUACAUUUCUUCUGCAAUCCUAUUGUACAAGACAUGAUCAUCACACAUAUCCUUAUCAGAUCUGAGUAUCCUCAAGUAAAUUUAGAAAAUGCCACUUCUGCUGUCCUUAGAUUGUGCCUGCUUCCCCUUCGCCUCUCGCCAUGAUUGCAAGUUUCCUGAGACCUCCCCAGCCAUGCCUCCUGUACAGCCUGUGAAACUGUGAGUCUGUUAAAGCUCUUACCUUUAUAAAUUACCCAGUCUCAGGUAGUUCUUUAUAGCAAUGUGAAAACGGACUAAUACAAAAGUCAAACUCGUGUUCCUUGUUUUAAGUCUACUGUGGACUCUGGCUGAACUGUUAGGGAGGCAGGGCAAGAGAACAGAACACAUCUAACAGAAGGGCCAGUAAAUGUUAACUUUUUUCCACUGACACAGAAAAUAAUGAAAUUUUAAAGCAGAGUAAAAUGAAAUGUAACAAGAAGAAAAAUGAUGUACAGUUUCUAAUGACCUUCUAUAAACUAUUAAAAUAAUAAAAUGUAGCGAAUUGUUCACAACGUCCAAAUACUUUCAACAUAGAGUUUAUUUUACU
rnacentral:lncRNA from 10 species